CUUAGAAGCAGCCAUUCAUUUAAAGAGUGCGUAACAGCUCACUAGUCAAGAGAUUUUGCGUGGAAAAUGUAACGGGGCUAAAGUGUUAAACCGAAGACAUGGACUUCUGCCUAUGCAGGAGUGGUAGAGGAGCGUUGAUAUCGCAGUGAAGUCAGAUUGGAAAGUCUGGUGGAGCGUUAUCAAGUGAGAAUGCUGGAAUUAGUAACCUUAAGACAGGUGAGAAUCCUGUCGGUCGUAAGAGCAAGGUUUCCAGGGCUACAGUAAUUGCCCCUGGGUUAGUCGGUCCUAAGCCGAGGCGUAUCAGCGUAGGCGAUGGACAACAGGUUAAUAUUCCUGUACAGGUAGUAGUUGUGAACAGUUCACGGUGAAUGACUGGAGCGGAUUAAUGGUUUAUCCGUCCAAGUCUUUAGGGAACUAAAGAUGAGUGAAAGGUAAUCUUCGGAUUAUUGAUUCUGGGUGAAGCACUGGCUAGAAAAGCUGGUUCACUUAUGCUGCUGCCUACCGUACCGCAAACCAACACCGGUGCUCGGGUCGAGUAGACCAAGACCUACGUGAGAACCUUCGCUAAGGAACUCGGCAAAAAAGCGUCCGUAACUUCGGAAUAAGGACUGCCCUCUCAUUAAGAUGAGGAUUUGCUAGAAACUCAGCAGAAGAUUCAGAUUACCUUUUAACUGAAUUUUUCGUUGAGACAGAACACAAAACAGGAUUUGUUUAACAAAUUCGUGUCUUUCCUAGUAGUCUAAUCGUCAUUUUGAUGAGAGGGCCGCAGCUAAAGAGCCCACGGAACUGUUUACCAAAAACAUAGGUCUCUGCUAACGCGAAAGCGGAUGUAUAGGGGCUGACUCCUGCCCGGUGUCGGAAGGUUAAGGGGAGAGCUUUACGGUUCGAACUGAAGCCCCGAUGAACGGCGGCGAUAACUAUGAUCGUCCUAAGGUAGCGAAAUUCCUUGUCUGGUAAGUUCAGACCCGCACGAAUGGAGUAAUCAUGUGGGCACUGUCUCGGCGAAGGCCACGGUGAACGUGCAUUGGCGGUAAAGAUGCCGUCUGAUCAUGCCAGGACGAGAAGACCCCAUGGAGCUUUACUACAACUUUGCAUUGAUUAUUGGGACAUUUUGUGUAGAAUAGGUGGAAGACUUUGAAGCAGAUACGCUAGUAUUUGUGGAGUCGAAAUGUGAAAUACCACCCUGAAUGUUUUAGUAAUCUCACUUUUGACCUGACCGGCCAAAAGGACCGUGCAUGGCGGGUAGUUUAACUGGGGCGGUUGCCUCCUAAAGAGUAGCGGAGGCGUUCAAAGGU
rnacentral:rRNA from 1 species